rnacentral:rRNA from 1 species
CAGUCGCCGCGGGAAAACGUAGGUGGCAAGCGUUGUCCGGAAUUAUUGGGCGUAAAGGGAGCGCAGGCGGUUUAGUAAGUCUGAAGUUAAAGGCAUUGGCUCAACCAAUGUAUGCUUUGGAAACUGUCAGACUUGAGUGCAGAAGGGGAGAGUGGAAUUCCAUGUGUAGCGGUGAAAUGCGUAGAUAUAUGGAGGAACACCGGUGGCGAAAGCGGCUCUCUGGUCUGUCACUGACGCUGAGGCUCGAAAGCGUGGGUAGCGAACAGGAUUAGAUACCCCCGUAGUCCCUGUCUCUUAUACA